UGGAAAUGAUGAAAUGGAGAUAAUGGGGAAUGGUGAGGGGAGUGUAUGUUUGGGGAAGGGUGGCAAAAUUUACUCUAAAGUAAAAGGGGUGCGAGUGCGUGUGCAGAAGCUAUACAUUGCUGUAAACUGUGGGCACUGAUAAAGAAGCUGUUGGUUUUGGAGUGCAUCUGAGGCAUGGUUGCUAAAUCAUGGGGCUUUGCUGCAACAUUGCCAAUGAUUAGAGCCCAAAAUAAACUCACAGUUUGCAUCUAGGCAUUUUAAACCUCCUAUGGGUUCCUUUUGGUUAUACAAAGGAACUUGUGUUCUGAUCUAA